GCCGCUCCUCCGCUUCCCGCUCGUUCUCGGGCGCUGCAGAAGGGCCUUUGCGGGGUGACGACCGCUCGCCGCCUCCCGGCGUAGUCGAGCUUCCCUCGCGCACGGCCCGCAGAGCCUUCGUAUGUAAUUCACCGCUGUGCCACUCACUGUACGUGGGCCCAGCAGAAGCUGUCAGGGGAGCCGGCAGGAGACGAGGGUCGGGUGUGAACGGGAACUUCUGUAACCAAAGGCACGGAGCUGCCGCAGCGCGCUGGGGGACGAAGUGCCCCCCCCCCGCCAAGGACGGCCGUCCCUUCGUCCUGCCCGUGCGCGGCGGCUCCGGGCCGCGUGUGGGAGCCCUCAGGAGUGGGGAACCGGCACCCGUCAAUAACGCCCCAAAGAGCCCUGAUGCCUUCAGGUUUGCCUCACUGUGGGUGCCCCAGCCCUGGAGGCGCUCAAGGCCAGCUUGGAUGUGGCGCUGGGCAGCCUGAGCUGGUGGGUGGCAGCCCUGCGUGUGGCAAGAGGGUUGCAGCUUAACAUCCCGUCCAACCUAAGGUGCAGAUCCAGUCUGUGGCAAGGUGAGAGCUCACCCUGCAAACAUGCACCUAAUUGUGCUUACGGCCAGCCUCGACCGCAACACAAAGCGCUGAUUUCCUCUAGUUCGCUGGAUGCUUUGGAAACCCGAGGACGGUGAGGAAGCCGAGUGUAUGUAAAUGUGAUUGCAGAGCGAGGUUUCUAAUUGUCUUUCUGAUUAUUUGGUCUUUUAAACUGCUCGAUGUGGUGUUUAAGCAACCCACAGCCGUUCAGAUCGCAGCGGGCUUUUAACACUGCGUGAUUCUGGUGGGUGCUUAAGGGAAACGGAUCCGGGAGCAGCCCCUGACACCGGCCGCCUCCAUCAGGUUUCAAGCCUCUGCAAGAUCCUGACUGCUAGGGAACAAAGGCUGGUAUGCGGUUCCCUCAAAGGUCAGUCAUUAACCUGCCCCAACAACAGUUUUAGGAAGAUCAAGGCAAUGAA